GUACACGCUGUGACUAGCAUAUCAAUAAGCGGAGGAAAAGAAACUAACAAGGAUUCCCCUCAGUAACGGCGAGUGAAGCGGGAAGAGCUCAAAUUUGAAAUCUUGAAAGGUCACCUUUCACGAAUUGUAGUUUAAAGAAGUGUUUUCUGUUACGAUCGUAAUAUAAGUUCUUUGGAAUAGGACAUCACAGAGGGUGAGAAUCCCGUCUAUGAUUGCGAUUUGUAGCUUUGUGAUACACUUUCAAAGAGUCGGGUUGUUUGGGAAUGCAGCCCAAAACGGGAGGUAAAUUUCUUCUAAGGCUAAAUAUUGGCGAGAGACCGAUAGCGAACAAGUACCGUGAGGGAAAGAUGAAAAGAACUUUGAAAAGAGAGUUAAAUAGUACGUGAAAUUGUCAAAAGGGAAGCGUUUAACACCAGUGUUGUUUUCUGAAAAUCAACCUCUGUUAGCUUUAUGCAUGUUUGUUUAGACCUAAUCAGCUAUCUUGCAUGUUCUAUUGUUUGCAGUGGUGCACUUUUCAGUUUACAGGUCAACAUCAGUUUUUUUUACCGUAAAAAAGUUAAAGAAAGGUAGCUCAUGGCUCCGGUCGUGAGUGUUAUAGUCUUUUUCCUAUGCGGUAGGAGAGACUGAGGUCUGCAGUGUAGGCUAUUUGGCUAGAUACUCAGGUGCUAUGUGAUACCAUUUCAUAAACAACUUGUUGAUUAUGUUUUGUCUAUUGCAUACUCGCUUGUACUAUCAUACCUACGCUUAGGAUGUUGACGCAUGAGAUAUACGC
rnacentral:rRNA from 1 species